AUGGCACAUGAAGUGUUCCCCAGAAUAAAAAAUUCCACGGUGGAUAAAAUUAGAACCAUGAUCAAUGCCGACAAAAGGCCAAUGGAUUCAACAAAGAACGGAGAUUUCAUUUUUGGCAUUUCAGCACCACGAGAUGCUGCUAGUUCAGCAUAUUCUAGGGCAGAUGACGGCUAUAAUGCACAACAAGAAGGGGAUGCUUGGGCAUGUGCAUGA
rnacentral:rRNA from 1 species